CCUACGGGUGUCAGCAGUGAGGAAUAUUGGUCAAUGGACGAGAGUCUGAACCAGCCAAGUAGCGUGAAGGAUGACUGCCCUAUGGGUUGUAAACUUCUUUUAUAUGGGGAUAAAACACGGCAUGCAUACUCUUUUGUAUGUACCAUAUGAAUAAGGAUCGGCUAAUUCCGUGCCAGCAGCCGCGGUAAUACGGAGGAUCCGGGCGUUAUCCGGAUUUAUUGGGUUUAAAGGUAGCGUAGGUGGAUUGUUAAGGCAGUUGUGAAAGUCUGCGGCUCAACCGUGAAAUUGCGGUUGAAACUGGCAGUCUUGAGUACAGUAGAGGUAGGCGGAAUUCGUGGUGUAGCGGUGAAAUGCUUAGAUAUCACGAAGAACUCCGAUUGCGAAGGCAGCUCACUGGACUGCAACUGACGCUGAUGCUCGAAGGUGUGGGUAUCAAACAGGAUUAGAUACCCGAGUAGUC
rnacentral:rRNA from 1 species